ACAAAGUUUGGUCCUGACUUCACUGUCAAUUUUUACUAAAAUUACACAUGCAAGUAUCCGCAUUCCCGUGAAACUUCCUUAAACCUUCUUCUGAGUUUUAAGAGACGGCAUCAGGCGCAAUAGAAAAAUUUUAGCCCAAAACGCCCGGCUCCGCCACACCCCCAAGGGAAUUCAGCAGUGAAAAAUAUUAAGUAAUAAGCGAAAGCUUGACUUAGUUAUAGUUUUUAGGGCCGGUAAAGCUCGUGCCAGCCACCGCGGUCAUACGAGAGGCUCAAAUUGACCGUUAUCGGCGUAAAGCGUGUUUUAGGAAUAGCUAAACUAAAGUAGAAUUAAUCCAAAACUGUUAUAAGUAUUUGUAUAAAAGAAAAACUCUUACGAAAGUAACUUUAAAUAUCCUGAAUACACGAGAGCUAUGAAACAAACUGGGAUUAGAUACCCCACUAUGCGUAGCUUUAAACCUUAAUAUAAAAAUACAUCUAUAUUCGCCCGGGUACUACGAGCAUAAGCUUAAAACCCAAAGGAUUUGGCGGUGCUUUAACCCCACCUAGAGGAGCCUGUUCUAUAACCGACAACCCCCGUUAAACCUUACCUUCUCUUGUUGUUUAACCCGUCUAUAUACCGCCGUCGUCAGCUUACCCUGUGAAGGGAACUAAGUAAGCAAAAUUGAUAAAAUCCAAAACGCCAGGUCGAGGUAUAGCAUAUGAGAAGGGAAGAAAUGGGCUACAUUUUCUAUAUCAGAAUAUACGGAAAUUAUUAUGAAAUAUAAUACUUUAAAGGAGGAUUUAGUAGUAAGUAAGGAACAGAGUGUCUUGCUGAAAUUGGCCCUAAAGCACGCACACACCGCCCGUCACUCUCCCUAAGCCUCUAAAAAUAAUUCAUAAUACAAAACUAAGUCAGUAGGGGAGAAAAGUCGUAACAUGGUAAGUAUACCGGAAGGUGUACUUGGCUAACC
rnacentral:ncRNA from 1 species